UAGUACUAGGAUGGGUGACCUCCCGG
rnacentral:snRNA from 1 species